rnacentral:tRNA from 1 species
AAAUAAGAAGUAAAAUUUACAAUUAGUUUCGACCUAAUAUAUGGCCUUAAGCCCUUAUUUA